rnacentral:rRNA from 1 species
AGCGAACGCUGGCGGCAGGCCUAACACAUGCAAGUCGAGCGGGCAUACAUGAGGUGUCAGCGGCAGACGGGUGAGUAACGCGUGGGAACGUGCCCUUCGGUUCGGAAUAACUCUGGGAGAGUGGAGCUAAUGGCGGAUACGUGCGAAAACAGAAAGGGUUAUCUGGGGUAGUACCGGCCCGCGUCGGAUUCGCCAGUUGGUGAGGAUACGACGCACCAAGGCGAGGAUCAGUAGCUGGGCUGUGAGGAUGAGCACCGACACUUGGACUGAGACACGGUCCAGACUCUUGCGCGAGGCAGCAGUGGGGAAUACAGGAAUAUCGCGUCAAUGCUGAUCCAGCCAUGCUGGGUGAGUGAUGACGGCCUUAGGGUUGUAAAGCUCUUUUCUCCGGGACGGUAAUGACGGUACCGGAGGAAUAAGCCCCGGCUAACUUCGUG